rnacentral:rRNA from 1 species
AGAGUUUGAUCCUGGCUCAGAAUGAACGCUGGCGGCGUGGAUUAGGCAUGCAAGUCGAGCGCGAAAGCUUGGGAAACUGAGCGAGUAGAGCGGCGACCUGGUGAGUACAAGGUGGGUAACCUGCCCCGAAGUGGGGGAUAACUGAUGGAAACAUCAGCUAAUACCGCAUGUGGACCUUGGGGAUUCGUCCCUGGGGUCUAAAGCAGCAAUGCGCUUCGGGAUGGGCCCGCCUCCCAUUAGCUAGUUGGUAAGGUAACGGCUUACCAAGGCUCCGAUGGGUAGCUGGUCUGAGAGGAUGGUCAGCCACACUGGGACUGAGAUACGGCCCAGACUCCUACGGGGGGCAGCAGUCUAGAGGCUUCGGCAAUGGGGGCAACCCUGACCGAGCGACGCCGCGUGGAGGAUGACGCCCUUCGGGGUGUAAACUCCUUUCGACCGGAAAGAAGGCCCGGACUCGUUCCGGGAUUGACGGUACCGGUGGAAGAAGCCACGGCUAACUCUGUGCCAGCAGCCGCGGUAAGACAGAGGUGGCUAGCGUUAUUCGGAUUUAUUGGGCGUAAAGGGCGCGUAGGCGGCCAGGCACGUCUGGUGUGAAAGCGCUACCGCUUAACGGAGCGACUGCAUUGGAUACGGCUUGGCUUGAGUCCGGGAGAGGUGAGUGGAAUUCCUGGUGUAGCGGUGGAAUGCGUAGAUAUCAGGAAGAACACCAGUGGCGAAGGCGGCUCACUGGCCCGGCACUGACGCUGAGGCGCGAAAGCGUGGGGAGCAAACGGGAUUAGAUACCCCGGUAGUCCACGCUGUAAACGGUGGAUACUAGGUGUGGGAGGUAUCGACCCCUUCCGUGCCGCAGGUAACCCAUUAAGUAUCCCGCCUGGGGAGUACGGCCGCAAGGUUGAAACUCAAAGGAAUUGACGG